rnacentral:rRNA from 1 species
AGAGUUUGAUCCUGGCUCAGAAUGAACGCUGGCGGCAUGCCUAACACAUGCAAGUCGAACGAGACCUUCGGGUCUAGUGGCGCACGGGUGCGUAACGCGUGGGAAUCUGCCCCUUGGUUCGGAAUAACAGUUGGAAACGACUGCUAAUACCGGAUGAUGACGUAAGUCCAAAGAUUUAUCGCCGAGGGAUGAGCCCGCGUAGGAUUAGGUAGUUGGUGUGGUAAAGGCGCACCAAGCCGACGAUCCUUAGCUGGUCUGAGAGGAUGAUCAGCCACACUGGGACUGAGACACGGCCCAGACUCCUAUGGGAGGCAGCAGUGGGGAAUAUUGGACAAUGGGCGAAAGCCUGAUCCAGCAAUGCCGCGUGAGUGAUGAAGGCCUUAGGGUUGUAAAGCUCUUUUACCCGGGAUGAUAAUGACAGUACCGGGAGAAUAAGCUCCGGCUAACUCCGUGCCAGCAGCCGCGGUAAUACGGAGGGAGCUAGCGUUAUUCGGAAUUACUGGGCGUAAAGCGCACGUAGGCGGCUUUGUAAGUAAGAGGUGAAAGCCCAGAGCUCAACUCUGGAAUUGCCUUUUAGACUGCAUCGCUUGAAUCAUGGAGAGGUCAGUGGAAUUCCGAGUGUAGAGGUGAAAUUCGUAGAUAUUCGGAAGAACACCAGUGGCGAAGGCGGCUGACUGGACAUGUAUUGACGCUGAGGUGCGAAAGCGUGGGGAGCAAACAGAUUAGAUACCCUAGUAGUCC